rnacentral:rRNA from 1 species
UACGUAGGGUGCAAGCGUUGUCCGGAAUUAUUGGGCGUAAAGAGCUCGUAGGCGGUCUGUUGCGUCGGCUGUGAAAACCCGGGGCUCAACUCCGGGCCUGCAGCCGAUACGGGCAGACUAGAGUUCGGCAGGGGAGACUGGAAUUCCUGGUGUAGCGGUGAAAUGCGCAGAUUUCAGGAGGAACACCGGUGGCGAAGGCGGGUCUCUGGGCCGAUACUGACGCUGAGGAGCGAAAGCGUGGGGAGCGAACAGG